rnacentral:rRNA from 1 species
UACAGAGGUCCCAAGCGUUGUUCGGAUUCACUGGGCGUAAAGGGUGCGUAGGUGGCCGGGUAAGUCUGACGUGAAAUCUCCGAGCCUAACUCGGAAACUGCAUCGGAUACUAUCCGGCUUGAGGAUUGGAGGGGGGACUGGAAUACUUGGUGUAGCAGUGAAAUGCGUAGAUAUCAAGUGGAACACCAGUGGCGAAGGCGAGUCCCUGGACAAUUCCUGACACUGAGGCACGAAAGCUAGGGGAGCAAACGGG